rnacentral:rRNA from 1 species
AACGAACGCUGGCGGCGGGCCUCAUACAUGCAAGUCGAGCGCGAAAGUCCUUCGGAGUGAGUAAAGACGGCGCACGGGUGAGUAACACGUGGAUAAUCUACCCCUUCGGAUUGGAAUAACCUGUCGAAAGACGGGCUAAUGCCGAGUGAGCUUACGAGGUCGUGAUGGCCUUGUACGGAAAGAUGGCGCAAGCUAUCGCCGAGGGAUGAGUCUGCGUCCCAUUAGUUAGUUGGUGAGGUAAUGGCUUACCAAGACAAUGAUGGGUACCUGGUCUGAGAGGAUGAUCAGGCACACUAGAACUGAAACACGGUCCAGACUCCUACGGGAGGCAGCAGUAGGGAAUAUUGCGCAAUGGGCGAAAGCCUGAAGCAGCAACGCCGCGUGUGCGAUGAAGGCCUCGGUCGUAAGACGACUUUCUUAAGUAAGAUAGAGAAAGGAACGAAGU